rnacentral:tRNA from 1 species
UAAUAUGUAGUUUAAUGGCAAAAACUAUUGGUUUAUGAUCAAUACUUAGUGAUUUAAACUAUCAUAUUUA